CAAUUCGAAUUCACAUUUCUCCCUUCGCUUCUUUAACUUCCUAACUGCUCUGCUUUCCAUCACGAAACUCCAUCUUCAUCUUCCUCCUUAAUCGCAAACACCAUGAAAUCCAAGAAACGAAGGCCUAAUCCCAACCCUCAAUCCUUCUCUCCACCCAAGAACAAGAAGCUCCGUUCUCACCUUCCACGCCGCAAACGCCCGAGGAUUUCACCUUUUCUCUGCUCUAAUUUGGUUUCCCAUUCCCCCGCUCCCUCCACCACCUUUGCUUUUGCUGCCGCAGAAUCCACCUCCACUUCCUUCUACACAUCCCGACCUGACGUUUCUAGCCACCUCAGCGCUCCCAAUUUCAGGAAGAGACGAUUUGAUUCCAAGAAGGAGGUUGGAGUAGGGAGUAAUGUGGAAGUGUCUGAAUCUUCUUGUGUUGAAUCUAAUUCUGGAGUUGAUUUUGGUGUUUCCGGACCAAGCACUACUUCGAAGUUAAAGAAUAGGAGUAGUUUUAGGACAACUAUUAACGGAAAUGAAGAUCAAAUUGAUCCAGCGGAGAAUGGAGUUGAGAAGUUCGAAUUCACGGAUGUUGAUGUCUCGUCGAAGCUUUGUGGAAAGGAAGCUGUGGUACUCACUUCUUGUGUAGAGUCUUGUGCUGAAUCUAUCUUUCAGAGUGUUUGUCCGUUCGAAGAGAAACGAUUAGAAGUUGAAGAUAACAGACUAUGGGAAUUUCAGUUACCUGAGCUACCGAGAAAUGAGAUUAAUGAAACUUUCACUGUUUCGAAGUCGGAUUCGACGAUAGAACAGUGGCCUGGCAGCUUGAAGUUUGAAUCGGAUCUUGCUUGCACGGAGCAAUUCUCUUACGAUGAUGUUUCGGAAUACUCUAGCCAGGCGUUGUCGCUUCAGUCAACUAUUCUAUUGGAGACUUCUGAUGAGUACUGCUCAGAUUACACUCCAUCAAUUUUCUUGGAAUCCGGAAGCGAAUUUUCAGAGAAAUCGAACGAAGACGCAGCUCCUUCAUCGACAUUUAGAAUGUUGCUGCAGUACAGACGCGACUUUCUAAGCUUAAAUUCCUCUCCAGACAUCAGAACUAGCUCGCCUAUUGAAGAAGAAAAAGUAGAUCAAUCGACGAUUCUGAGAUUUGAAGAAUUGGACGACGAAGAAGCCUAUCGAAUGUUCAGAAAUAGAGAAAGACGCCAAUUGAUUAUUCACGACUACAUAGAGGAGUAUCGAUCCACAACGGAUUAUGGCGAUCUCAUUCUUCAGCAACGGUCAAAUAUGGUCCAAUGGAUAGUUGAACGAUCUAGAGAAAACAAACUUCAUCAGGAGACGACAUUUUUAGGAGUUACCCUUCUAGACCAGAUUCUGAGCAAAGGAUUCUUCAAAGCUGAAAGUCGCCUUCAAAUUCUAGGCAUAGCAUGUCUAACUUUGGCGACUAGAAUUGAAGAAAAUCAGUCAUACAGCUGGUUACAGCAAAGGAAUAUCCAUGUAGGGAGCAACACGUACAGAAGAGCAGAAGUUGUUGGCAUGGAAUGGCUUGUUGAAGAAGUUCUUAAGUUCCAUUGUUUCUUGCCAACUGUUUACAACUUCUUGUGGUUCUACCUGAAAGCUGCUGGAGCUAACUCAGAUUUGGAGAAUCGAGCUAAGAAUUUCGCAGUGCUCGUUCUUGCAGACAAAGUCCAAUUUUGUUAUUUCCCUUCAACAAUUGCAGCUGCAGUUGUCAUCUUGGCGUCCUUAGGAGAAAAACAAGAUGCACCAAGUCAACGAGUCAUUGAGACACAUGUCAGAACAGAAAACGACGAUCUGCCUGAAUGUAUCGAGAGCUUGGAGUGGCUAUUAAAGCUUUUAUGAUGGAAGCAUCAAAUCCUAACACAGCAAAAAAGAAAGCAAGCAAUUGGUCUUUUUGACAUAUUCUUGACCACUUAAACAUCAUCUUGAACACAGCUAGUGAAGCUCACCCUCCGAAACCAGCUAUAUAGCAGGCUCCCCAGGUAAAGGCUCAUCGAGAUGGAGCUCGGCGAAGUUACUAAUGAUCCCCGUUCUCUCCCGAUAUAUACUCUCCUUUUUCUCCUCCUCGGCUUUCUCGACUUUUACCUUUGUCAUUUGGGUCACUUCCUCAGCAGCUUUUGUAACUGCAGUUACUGCGUUUGAAAACCAUGCUGCUCCAGUUAACACAUAAUAAUUGCUCAUCAGCGCCGUUCCAGCGCUUGUUGCCUUUUGCUCUGCAACGGCAAGGGCGGAUUUCGUCUUCUCCGUAACCUGGAACAUUUCAUCCAUCUCCCUGACCUUUUCAUUCACCACUGCUGUGCCUGCUGUUAUUUUCUCAGUUAUUCCCAUCUUGCGGUCAAUGGAAGCUACGGUUGCAGAAGCAUUUGAUGUGAAUUGGAGUCGUUCGUCGAAUGCUUUUGCUUUGUUUAGAGCAUCCUUCCCCAAGAUGAAACCCUUAGCAAGCAUUGUACUUACGACGUCUUCAGCCUGAUUUGGAGCAAUCCCAGUAACCGUUUGCCUUUUAUCCUAACAAUUUUAUGACAGGUACUUGAUUGUUUUAGAUGCUUCCAUUUCAUCAUCAGACAACAUAAAAGAUCAAGGAAACAACAACAACAACAACAACAACAAGACGUUUUGAGAAAUUACCAGGAUUGAUGACAUUGCUUCAGGUGGAAGAUGAAAUGGGGAUUGAGUAUUAUGAGAAGAAGAAGAAGAAGAAGAGUAAAAGUAAAACGUAAAUGCGGCAGGCAGAUCUGCAUCAAAGAUUCACACAUAAAGAAGAAGAAGAAGAAGAAGAAGAAGAAGACGAAAGAACUCACCGACAUUUCUGAAAAUGAAAAGAAAUGAAGAAAUGGUUAGAUGAGAUGGAGCGGCGGAGAGAAGAGAAGAAGAGAAAAUGGUUGAAGAUGAGAUGAAGAAAGUAUUUGUUGGAUUUCUGGAAACGGAUACGGUUUUUCUUUUUUCUUUUUCAUUUAGAUUUAGAAGAGGAGAGGAUACCGAAACAAAAAAAAAAAAAAAAAAAAAAAACAAAAAAACAAAAAAACAAAUGGGAAUUUUUAUGAACUGUUGACUUUAAUAUUGUUAUUUAUUAUAAUACAUAAGUGGAGCCAACUGGAUGACAAUUCAAUUUUAUCCAAUUUUCUUU